CAACUUCAAUUAACAUAUGGUACUGAUUGUCACAUACAUAUAGUUAAUGUGCUCUAAGCAUAAUCACCCAAACACCAUACAUCAGGCUCACAUCGGGACCAUCAAACAUUUUUUAUUCCAUUAAGUAAUUGGCACAUACAUACAUUCCAAUCUGUUCUAAACAAAACCACUGAGACACCAUACAUCAGGUUUACAAAAGGACAGCCAAAAGAUGCAAGUAUGAGACAUCAGUUGUACAAAAUGAAAGCUAAAACAUCUAGUUGACGUGGAUCGUUGGCUUCAUGGUUCCUUGUGAGUGUAGUCGUUCUGUUUGCUUCCUGCAAAAGUUAAUCAAUUCGCAAUUAUAAUACACUCUUAGAAACUAUACUACAGUACCAAAAUCAACAUACAGGAUCAUCGCAUUCUCAAAAAUAUAAAUAGUAAUAAAUACAGAGAAUUCAAUAAUCAUGUGUUAACAGUAACGUUGAUCCUCAGUUGAGAUUGUUAGCACUAAUCUCGAUAUUUUGUCUCCGCGUACUUAUUUUGCUUUCGUUAUGCAUGUAACAUAGAUGGUCUACGAGAAUAUAGUUGUCGAAGCUUAAAUCGAGUGGGCGGAGGAGGUGAGAUACCGGGCUGCCGUGCGAUGCGGCGCGCAUGGUGAGAUGUCGAUGGCGGUGUGAAGCCGCGGUGCUGUGCGAUGCAGCACGCCCUGUGAAGCGGCAAGGCGCUUGACGACUGGAAUGGCUGGACAAAUAUCAGCUAGAGGAGAAUAGGCAAGUUAGUUUGUUUGUUAGCUGCAUGGCUGCUGACCAGGUGUGUGGCCGUUAAGUGGAGCUGCGCAAGUGGACAUGCAUGCAUGUAGGGAUUACCAAGUGCAUGGAGUUAGUUGUGUGAGUGGGCGUGAGUUAGUGCCUAGACGUGACGUUAGUGGCCGGAUGUGGCGCCUGAGUGGUGCGUGAAGGUUAGCUCCCCAUGUAUAUAUAAGUUACAAUGAGAAAAGAGAAAAGAGGCUGAGAGGGCUCGAGGAAAAAUGAAGCAUAUGUGCUUUUCACCAGGAGACAAGGCAAAGUUAGUUUUCUCCAUGGUGAAGUGUUUGUGUGUGUGUUUUCUGCCCUGGUGUGCGUGUCCUUGUGUUAUUGAGAGAAGAUAGAAACCACAAGAGAGAUGUGAGAGGAAGAAGAGGUGCUGCCAGAGGCAGCGCCAACAGAGAUCACCCCAGCCGGCCCACCAUCUCCAUAAGGAGUUGAUAGGUCAGCAAAGGCAUUUGUUUCUUCUCUUUAAAAAUAAGAUAUAUUACUCUAUUGGCAUAGGCAAAAAAUUGGAGUGCGCAUGAUCUUGAGGUAGCAGAAGAGUUUGAAGCAUCUAUUUGUGUUUAUAAAUUAAUUCUGUAAUAUAUAAAUCAUUGAUUCGUCUGCAUUUGUGUUACUGCCAGCAUCUCAUUCUGAACAGUCUACAGUUUGUGAAACCAUUCUCAUUGCAAAAUUGCCAAAAACUAAUAAGAAAACCCAACCUUCUUUUUAAAGGGACCUGCUUAUCCACUAACUACAGUUACCUGAAUAAUUUUAGCAUUCAAAUUAGUAGCAUUACCAAGCUUGGGUUCAAUAAAUAAUUUUACAUCAACUUAAUUCAAAAGGAUCAAUCUAAUAUAGUAUGCAUAUUAAGAAGCUACAUCAGUUUGCAAUGAACAUCAUUCCUAUCGGCAGCAAGAGUUUUCAAUGUGCACAAACCUUGACAAAUGAUGUCCGGUCGUCGGCUUGCCUCUCACCAUACCAGGAUGUGCGCCACUCAAAAUUCCUGAACAAUAGUGGUUGCUAUUCAACCGAAACAGGAGGAUUCAGGCUAACCAGCUGAAGCAGAAUAAAAGAUGCACCAAAACAAGCUAGAAACGAUGUGCACACGUCAGCAUGCAUCCUUACAAAAGGAGCACGUAAGAGAUUUCUUUUUACCAAAACGAAUAAGAGAAAAGAAUGGCGCUGAACUAAACAAAGGGAAGUAACCAUAAGUUGAGUAAUAUUGUUAAAAACGACAAUCAACAAAACUCAUUGGAAUAAGAUUUAAAUUACAUGGUCGAAUAAGAUCUCCUUAUCUCGAUGAAUCUAAAACUGGUAUUUUGAUAUCUCAAUAAAUCUGAGAUUCAGAGUUUCUAAAAGCUGCAAUAAUGCUUUACAAAUUAGAGCUUACCUAAAAGUAAAGAAUAUCUUGCCCAGAAGCCGAGGUAGGGACUCAUUGAGUAUGAGUAUGACUAUAAACUGCAAACUGCACGCUAGCUCUAAUCUUGGUUGAAAGUUUUGAGAGCCAAUUCUGAAGGCAUCAGACUGCCAGUACCUGCAACAUCUCAAGUAAUAUGAAUACCAGUUUUGUGUAAAUCAUGUACUAACAUUAAAAAUCAAUGUUGAAUUUACACAACCAUACUGUCAGCAACAAAGGCAUGAAUGAAACAAAAAGAAUGUGGCCUAUCUUAUAAUAGUAGGAAGAGCAACAUAAAUCCAUAUUCUCCUUGCAAUGUGGCUUAUCUAAUAAAAGUACGAAGAGCAAAAUAAAUCUAUGUUCUCCCAGCAUUCUAUGGUGCAUGUUCUGCCUUGUUUGUGAGCAGAAGAAUAUGCAGGCUACUGUGAAAGUCAAGCUGUGCCUAACAAUAAACAUUCCAAGUUUCAGAUAGGAUAUGAACCAAGAAAGUACUGAUUUUCUAUACAGACAUCACACUUGUGGUGAUUUCCGCGAAGAGGUGCAAGUUGUUGGCGGCGUGGGAUGGCUUGGGCUCCGAGUCCAGCAUCGCUGCGGCGGCCUCCCACUCCGUCCAAGCGUAUGGGAUGCAAAGAAGAAUCCUGGGAAAAUAUGGGAUACAUGAACUAUUCUGGAAGUUACAGAACUACUGAAUCAAAUUUAAAGAGAAAAUAAAACUGUAAAAUCUAUACAAGCAUGACUGUAUAAAUACAAACUGCUAGAUAUGUAAUUUAUCUUCAUUCCAGAAAAACUGAACUAAGUUUAAUAUAGUCUUAUGCUUGCCAGAAUUCUACAAUGCUUAAAUAGAAGUCUUUGUGGAACCUGAAGCUAGUUUUCAGCGUUGUCCCUCUUCUCAAAGCACAGAUAUGUGGAUAAGUUUUUCUAUGUAUGUAUGUAUAUAUAUAUAUAUAUAUAUAUAUAUAUAUAUAUAUAUAUAUAUAUAUAUGACAAAUUUUAUCUACAAGCAAUGGUAGUUACCACCUAAUUCUUUGGCCUCCACGUGUCCCACCUUGUUACGAAGCCAAACGGGUGAAUGGUAGUCGCUGGGAGAGGUUCUAAACCCGAUAACCCUUGUCCCACGUGAGCUCAUUAAGAUAACUGCAUGUGCUGAUUUGUAGGGGUGUUGGGUACUCCUUUCUAGCUAGCUCCGUUGCGGGAAGCAUUAAUCUAAAUGCUCUUGUGUGCUACUCCUUAAUUGUUGGCUGGAUGAAACAACUUUUGAAUAGAAAAAUAAAUCACCGUGACACUAAUUGUUUGCCCGAUAGGAAAAGAAAUAUGGUCACUCAGAAUUUUAUAGUCUGGAAAGGUAUGUGCAUGUCUACCAUAGCAUGAAUGUUAUGUUCCACGGUAUGUAGAAAAACAGUAUGGAAGUAUGUAGUACAUCAUUAAAAUACAAAGUUUGGAGUAUGUGGAAUUAAGGUAUAUUUCUGUUGAAAAAAUAGUAUGUGGUAUAUAUCUUUAAAAGAAAGUAUGGAGUAUGUGGAACUGAGGUACAUUUCUGUCAAAAAAAAGUAUGUAGUAUAUAUAUAUAUAUAUUUAAAAGAAAGUAUGGAGUAUGUAGUACAUAUCUACUUCUUACUUAAUCACGGAGCAUGUAUAUACUUUUUAAUUGUAGAAGGGCGUAUGUGUUUAUACAUUUUAAUACUAGACUAGAGUAUGUGUUACUACCGGUUACUUAGUGGUAGUAUAUAAUUUUUUAAACCAGCAUCCACAAAAAUUGUAAGUACAAUUAUUUAUUAUGCAUUUUGUUUUUGGGUUUUUGUGAGUUGCACAAGAGUACGUAGAAUGAACAGAGUAUGUAUAUAAGUGUACAAUGAGUAUGCAGAACAUCAUAUACAACAGAACUAUACAAUGAGUUGAAGCAUUCCAUUUCUGCUAUGUACACGUCAUGCAGACAUGGUGUGGUGCAUGCAUCAAAGGCAAGUAGGCACGCAACAAAGAUCUAUGCCUUUGACUUUGUAGUUCGUAGCAGAUACCACCACACGAUGAUUAACGGUGGCAGCGAUGUGUCUCAGUUGCUUCAAUGAUUCAUGCGCGUACUGCCGUACCUGCGAUACAAGCCUCGUCUAGUCUACUAGAGAUGCACCACACGACUAAUACGUGGAGCCGUAAUCGUAGUUGCGGGGUGCACGGGUGCAGGUCGUACUAUAUGAAGUAUCCAGUGGUGCUGCGUGCAGAAUCUAACUUCGCCUUGUCAUCCUCUUCAUGCAUGCCGGCCUUCAUGUACCUGUCGUCACAUUGGAACCCUCGGAAUCAUGCUGUAGAUGAGAAAAAAAAUGAGAUAACAAAGAAACCAAUCAGGAGAGAUUAUGUAUACCAGAUGCUCCUGAUCAAAUUGGUCGAAAUUGACCAUCGUUGGCCAUAACCAAAAAAACUGGGACAUAGGCAACAAAGAGGAACCGUAUGAAUUCUUUUGAGAUAGAAGUCUAAACAACCUAUGAUCUCGCUACUCAUACUUAGUUACCUGAAUUGUGUGGUACUAAAGAACGACGUCGGCCAGCCGUGGUUUGCACUGCAUCAGAUGUGUCGUCCAGCCGGUGUGACCCACGGCGAAGACGCCGAUCCGCCGUCUCCAGGCGUUGAGGGAGGUGUCGCCCAGGCAGAACAGGAGGUCGAGCAAAUAAAACUAUUUUGGUUCGUAACCAGAGUAUACUAAUAAAUCUAUUUUUACGUGGAAAAAAUUGCAAAGUUGGUUAGUAGCCGGAUAAGGACGUACGAAAAGAUAGUCAUGCAUUCAAAUUUUCUCGGAUAAGCUAUGCCGAUGAGUACGCCGUGGAUAACCACCAAUUAAUCUAAUAAAUAUAAUUAAUAAUGAAACGGGUCGGGUGGAAGCUAGCCUAACUCGUUAAGAUUCUGUAGCAAUCAAAGAGAAAAAAACAAACCAAACCCGAAUCUAAUGACAGAAGAUCGACGGUGGAUUCUUAGGUGGUAGUUACCACUAGGUGGUAGAAGGGAUUUUCCCUAUAUAUAUAUAUAUAUAUAUAUAUAUAUAUAUAUAUAUAUAUAUAUAUAUAUGUGUGUGUGUGUGUGUGUGCGUGCGUGAGUGCGUGCGUGCGUGUGUGUGUGUGUGUGUGUGUGUGUGUGAAGUAAUGAAUUUUCAUAUGAUGGUACCCUUGUAUUGACCUUCAGGCACACAUAGCAUAAUAUGAUAGUUUGGCAAGGCACACAUAGCACACAAACGUUCACAAAUCAAUCACAACCUGUUCAUAAAAAAUAGUAGCUAAUUUAGGUUUCCUGCAACACUACUGAAAGGAAUACUUGUAGCAUAGAUUCUUUUUUUCAGUAAUAGCAUCAAGCUUGUUCUUCUCAAGUUCUCAUAUCCAGAAAUCACACGAGAUGUACCUCUUAGACUGCAUUGCUGGCUACCCCAUUAGCAGAUAGAGCCCCUGUUUUUGAUGCUCUACUUGUUGCUUGAGCUCGAGCUCACAUCCAAAACGAUGCUUGCUGGAUAGAAGUACUAUUCCAAGUCAUGGUUGAU
rnacentral:lncRNA from 1 species